GGAGGAAUAUUGGGCAAUGGGGGAAACCCUGACCCAGCAACGCCGCGUGAAGGAAGAAGGCCUUCGGGUUGUAAACUUCUGUGACAGGGGAAGAAAGAAAUGACGGUACCCUGAGAGGAAGCCACGGCAAACUACGUGCCAGCAGCCGCGGUAAUACGUAGGUGGCGAGCGUUGUCCGGAAUCACUGGGCGUAAAGGGCGCGUAGGCGGUUUGACAAGUCGCAUGUGAAAUACCAGGGCUCAACUCUGGGGGGUCAUGCGAAACUGUUGGACUUGAGUGUAGUAGAGGAAAGCGGAAUUCCUGGUGUAGCGUUAAAAUGCGUAGAGAUCAGGGGGAACACCGGUGGCGAAGGCGGCUUUCUGGGUUAUAACUGACGCUGAGGCGCGAAAGCGUGGGGAGCAAA
rnacentral:rRNA from 1 species